GACGAACGCUGGCGGCGCGCCCAAUACAUGCAAGUCGAACGGGCCUUUCAGGCUUGCUUGAAAGGCUAGUGGCGGACGGCUGAGUAACGCGUGGGUGACCUGCCCCGAAGUGGGGAAUAACUGCCCGAAAGGGUGGCUAAUACCGCAUGUGAUCACAUAUUCAUUUGUGUGAUCAAAGCAGUAAUGCGCUUUGGGAGGGGCCUGCGUCCGAUUAGCUAGUUGGGGGGUAAAAGCCUACCAAGGCGACGAUCUUUAGCUGGUCUGAGAGGAUGAUCAGCCACACUGGGACUGAGACACGGCCCAGACUCCUACGGGAGGCAGCAGUGGGGGAAUAUUGGACAAUGGGCGAAAGCCUGAUCCAGCCAUGCCGCGUGAGUGAUGAAGGCCCUAGGGUUGUAAAGCUCUUUCGGCGGGGACGAUAAUGACGGUACCCGCAGAAGAAGCCCCGGCUAACUCCGUGCCAGCCGCCGCUGU
rnacentral:rRNA from 1 species